rnacentral:lncRNA from 1 species
CAGCUUCACAGGACUUCCAUACACACUAAAUAUUGUAUUCAUGUCCUAUAAGAAAAUGGGGAUUCAGAAAGACUCGAAAACCAAGAAAACAACAAAAGAAAAGAUAAGUGAUGAUCUCAGUAAUUCCAUCUAUACACCACAGAAAAGCUAGAUUUGAAGUUAAAAAAUAAAGUGGUAGUACACCAAAAAAUUUGAAGGAAUUCCCAGGCACUACAUGUAUUGUCCCAC